rnacentral:lncRNA from 1 species
CUUUAUUUAAUCACUUAUGUGCACUGUAGGUGCUGGCCCAGAUGUAAGCACAAGGAAAGGACACGUCAAAAAUAACCAAAAUAUUGAUGUGGUAAAGGAACAUCAGCUUUCAGAGGAGAACGGUGUAUAAACCUAGAUUACUGUAUUCUAUCCUAUUCUACUGUAUCUUAGUCUGUGCCGCUCUGACAUUGCUCGUCCAAAUAUUUAUGUAUAUUCUUAAUUCCUUUACUUUAGAUUUGUGCGUAUUGUUAGAUAUUACUGCACUGUUGGAGCUAGAAACACAAGCAUUUCGCUACACCCGCAAUAACAUCUGCCAAACACGUGUAUGUGACAUAAACAAUUUAAUUGUUAGAGAACAAACAAUUAAGAGUACAGAUUAUUGUAUGGGAAAUAUGCAAACUUUUUUGAGAAACAUAAUUUAUAUGAUUUUAGUUGAGUCAAUGUAUUUAUUGGUUCUUUUCAUUUUGAUUAGAGAAAUGAAAAUGUAAGGAAUUGAAAGUUAUUUGUUCAUGUAAAAAUCUAAAUUUUACAAAGUUGAAGGUUCUGUCAAUAGAUUUGGGCGGGGGGGGGAGGUCGCCAGAAGUUCCUGCCAAAAAAAUUGUCUCCUCGUUGAAAAGGUUUGUAUACCACUGGUCUAAAUCUACAAUGCACCCCCUCUGCUGGUGAGAUGAAGACUAACUAUGUGCAUCGUUACAGGCCUGUUAUUCCUUCAUGUGAAUUUCAAACAUUCCACAGAGGUUGUCAGAUGGAGGAAAAAUGAAUUGCCCUUUGUCAGUAUGAUGGACAAAACAGGAUCCAGGUGAAGAAACCAAAUGGUGUUACUGGGAAAUCAAGAGGUGGGGGUUCCCUAGAGUUAGAGUUGAACUGGGACGUGGACAUGAAGCUGGGGUUAAGGUUAAGACUAGAGUUAGAGUUGAACUGGGACGUGGACAUGAAGCUGGGGUUAAGGUUGUGGUUAAGACUAGGGUUAGAGUUGAACUGGGACGUGGACAUGAAGCUGGGGUUAAGGUUGUGGUUAAGACUAGGGUUAGAGUUGAACUGGGACGUGGACAUGAAGCUGGGGUUAAGGUUAUGGUUAAGACUAGGGUUAGAGUUGAACUGGGACGUGGACAUGAAGUUAGGGUUAUACUGGAAUAUGGACAUGAAGUUAGGGUUAUACUGGAAUAUGGACAUGAAGUUAGGGUUAUACUGGAAUAUGGACAUGAAGCUAGAGUUAGGGUUAUACUGGGAUAUGGACAUGAAGCCAGGGUUAGGGUUAUACUGGGAUAUGGACAUGAAGUUAGGGUUAUACUGGGAUAUGGACAUGAAGUUAGGGUUAUA